UGAACGCUAGCGGCAGGCUUAACACAUGCAAGUCGAGGGGUAUAGGGAGCUUGCUUCCUAGAGACCGGCGCACGGGUGCGUAACGCGUAUGCAAUCUACCUUUGCAGAGGGAUAGCCCAGAGAAAUUUGGAUUAAUACCUCAUAGUAUAGUACUUUGGCAUCAAGGAACUAUUAAAGUCACAACGGCAAAAGAUGAGCAUGCGUCCCAUUAGCUAGUUGGUAAGGUAACGGCUUACCAAGGCUACGAUGGGUAGGGGUCCUGAGAGGGAGAUCCCCCACACUGGUACUGAGACACGGACCAGACUCCUACGGGAGGCAGCAGUGAGGAAUAUUGGACAAUGGGCGCAAGCCUGAUCCAGCCAUGCCGCGUGCAGGAUGACGGUCCUAUGGAUUGUAAACUGCUUUGUACAGGAGGAAACACUCCCUCGUGAGGGAGCUUGACGGUACUGUAAGAAUAAGGAUCGGCUAACUCCGUG
rnacentral:rRNA from 1 species